GGAACUAUAAAAGCUUAGGCGGUAAAGGAUGGGCAUGCGUGACAUUAGCUAGUUGGUAGGGUAACGGCCUACCAAGGCUACGAUGUCUAGGGGUUCUGAGAGGAAGGUCCCCCACACUGGUACUGAGACACGGACCAGACUCCUACGGGAGGCAGCAGUGAGGAAUAUUGGUCAAUGGGCGCGAGCCUGAACCAGCCAUCCCGCGUGCAGGAAGACGGCCCUAUGGGUUGUAAACUGCUUUUGUGCAGGAAGAAUGUGCCCAUCGUGAUGGGUAGUGACGGUACUGCAUAAUAAGCACCGGCUAACUCCGUGCCAGCAGCCGCGGUAAUACGGAGGGUCAAGCGUUAUCCGGAUUUAUUGGGUUUAAAGGGUGCGUAGGCGGUAAAAAAGUCAGUGGUGAAAAGCUGCAGCUCAACUGUAGUCCUGCCAUUGAAACGUUUUACUUGAGUAACCAUGAAGUA
rnacentral:rRNA from 1 species